UAGCCGCCUUUUUGGUAAUUGAGCCAAUUCAUGUGAUCAUGUGUAUUGUUCCUCCAUACUCUUACAUUGCUCCAAGCUUUUUUCCAAAGGAAAGGAAGUAUUAUUACUGCUUACACUCAGAUAACAGAAGUUGGAUCCAGACUAAUGCCACAGUCCUCCUCACCCGGAAAGAAAUCCCAGUAAAUUCAAUGGAAUUUCCUUUUGGUGCCAAGAGAGCUCUGAAGCUGGAUAAAGCUGUCAUGGAAAAAAGGCCAGCAACACCAUUAGUGAGCAGCAAGAAAAAUCUCCAGUCUUAUUCACCGACAACAGGAACAUGUCUAUUGAGUCCAUUUUCAAGUCCCAAGAGCAAUAAUGUACAAGAGCACAGAAAUGGCCUAUCAAAUGAAAACAGAGGUGAACUCAAAGGUUUAUUGAUCCGCUCAUUGAGAAAGGCACAACCUCAAAUGGAAGCAAGUGAGAAGAUCAGAUCAUCCAGAAAGGGGCAAGCUAAUGUGAAAGAGAAUGACAAACUUCUAAUGCUGCACUCUGCAGUUGAAGAUUCCCUGGAGAGAUUCAUGCAUAUCAGACAAAGCCUAACUAGUCUACAGGCUUUAGAGGGCAUCAGAGAGCUUGAGAAUAUUAUUGGUGCUUCAGAAAACUCUGGUAACUUGAAAGACGAAGUGAGAAAAACCAGGAAACUAAUAGAGGAAGCUAGAAAACAAAAGCUGCUGAGAAAGAGCAACGUAAGAUUUCCUACUCAAGGGACCCCCUUUGUAGCCAUGGACCAUCAAGACUUAGUGUUUAUAACCAACUGUAAAUUGAUGUUGUGUAAGUGGAAGGCAGAUUUGGGACCCCAAAUUAUGAAAUUUGUUAUAAUCCUUGAUUAUCACAGACCUCACAACAGUUUUGCAUUCCUUAAAUCCCUCAUUGAUUAAGGGCACUGAACUGAGUGGGACAUAAUUAUGAAUAGAUAUGAAUAUAAUGGUGAUGCAGUUGAACAUCCUGGUACAUCUUUCAAGGAUCUACAACUGCCUGAUCCUACUUAGAAGACUGAAAAGAAAUGCCUGUAAAUCUAUCUCUCCAGCAAAUACCAGCUAAGGAUUGUGCAGUGCAUUAGGCAGGUGCACAUCUAGAUACUAUUUCUAACAUCUAAUUUAAACUUUACAAUCUGCACAACCAGAUAAUCUCAAAGUAAAUAAUAUACUUCACCAUAGCUCUUUUAUGCAAAUGUGAAAAAGUCCAGGUUGUAUUACUUCUGUGUAGUUCUAAGUAUUGCACUUGCCCAACUUUAGUAAAAUCCCAUAGUGAGUUUUUCCUAAUGCUUGGGAAGAAGAGUUGCACUUAAGAAUGGAUACUAUUUCCCAGGGCCUCAAACAAACUAAAUUUCACAGUGAUGAUAUGCUCCAUGUUUUCUCUGAAGGGGUGCCAGCUUUACCAUAAACACUGAAGACUGCUUCCCAGUUUGUGACACGUUGUUUAUACAACUGUCCUCACACUCAAUAGCAAGAAAAAUUUGCCAUCUAUGUUGGUUCAGUCCUUUUGCUAGCAAAGGCAUUACCAAUGAAGCAUUUGCAAAAACCAUUUUUGUUACUGUGGUUUCUUUAAAAAAACACCCUCAGAAUUCUCCCCCCCCCAAACUUCUAGCGAAAAUAUAUUUUUCUCUACUAUGUAAUACUUGAAUUCAUACUACUAAAUACUUUGAAAUUCAUUUAAAUAAAACUUAACAUUUGUGUGUAA